rnacentral:lncRNA from 1 species
ACACACACACACACACACACUGCACACACACACACACUGCACACACUGCAUAGACACACACACACUGCAUACACACUCACACACAAACUGCACACACACACACAAACUGCAUACACACUCACACACACACUGCACACACACACACACUGCAUACACACACACACACUCACACUCACACACUAAACACAGUCACACACACACACACACU